rnacentral:rRNA from 1 species
UAAUACGGAGGAUCCAAGCGUUAUCCGGAAUCAUUGGGUUUAAAGGGUCCGUAGGCGGCCCAGUAAGUCAGUGGUGAAAUCUCCCGGCUCAACCGGGAAAUGGCCAUUGAUACUGCUGGGCUUGAAUUAUUGGGAAGUAACUAGAAUAUGUAGUGUAGCGGUGAAAUGCUUAGAUAUUACAUGGAAUACCGAUUGCGAAGGCAGGUUACUACCAAUACAUUGACGCUGAUGGACGAAAGCGUGGGUAGCGAACAGGAUUAGAUACCCUGGUAGUCCACGCCGUAAACGAUGGAUACUAGCUGUUGGGGGCAACCUCAGUGGCUAAGCGAAAGUGAUAAGUAUCCCACCUGGGGAGUACGAACGCAAGUUUG